GGGCGCUGUGGGCGAGGACCCGAGCGGGCCGUAUUGGAAUAGACUGAGGUUCGCUGCAGUAUUGUGAGAAGAUUAGAGAUUUGAGUUUAGGGUGCUGUGUGUAGAAAACUUGCACGUGGAAAACACGCAGCCGGGCCGCCACGUGUCCUGAGUGUAGUGGUGGCGGCAGGCUUCGAGCUUAGGCGUGUGGAGGCUGGUGCUGAUGGCCACGAGCGCUGUGCGCGGCCUGCUUGCUAAACGCCGACAUCCGACUGGCCAAGCCUGAGCGGCGGCGGGAAAACCAUAUUCCCGGUAUUUGGGGCAGGGAGUUUUACGUUGAGCAAGAGGCCUUUAAUAAGGAGAGUGUCGUUUUCCCGUCGCGGAUCAAAAGGUGAUUUGAAAAUGGGCAGCCCUGACGUUGCCUGAGAUUGAGUUGUAUUGUGCCCAGGUGGCGCUGUGUGCAAACCAGAUUAGUGAUUGGGAAGAUUUUAGUACUGAAAACCUUCAACUGUCAUUCUGUAAGAAUGCUUAGUUUUAAAUAUUUUGGUCCCCUUCAGGAACAAUGGCUCUCAGUGGCAUAACGGAGCUGUUACCUGGAGAUGUUCACGUAAGUACUGUUGAGCUUAGUUUUUAAACUGAAGAAGUAAACCUGUUGAUUUACAGGAAAAGAUGGUGCAUCAUUUGAAAUUUGCUUCCUACUAGAGACAAAGGAAAACUAGAAAAUACGUGAGGGAAUAUUUCCUGGGAAAUUACUUGGUUGGAACCUGACCAUUUUACCCAGCAUCCUGGGAGUUGAUGAAUACUAACAGACCUACAAAUGUCACUGGCUAGCAAUGUAAUUUUUAAAUGAGGGUUCGCUGUCUUUCCAUUGAAAGAGGCCAGUUUGCUGUGACCUUCCUAAGAUGUAACCCGUUUCUGGUUAAUACCACCAGAUUUACUUGUGAAAAAUCGAUAAGGAAAAGCUCUUCAUUUAACUGACAUGGGAAGAAAACCUACAAAUCAAGACAAUAUUUUUUUAUUUCUGUAAACAGGUUAUGAAACCGCAUCAGAUUCAGAUUAAUGUAUUUGUAAGAUUUAAGCCAUUACUUUUUAUGUCCUACUGCCCUAGAGAAUCCUAACCUGUUAAGCAGAUUACUUUGUAGAUCUAUUUCUAUUUUAAAUACAGGAAUGCAAAGGAAGGUACAUAUUUUUAAUGGAGAAGUCUUUGAUUUCAGUUAACCAGACUUGUAAUCAGCUUAUUGUGAAUGUUUCACCUUUGGCCACCUGUUUGAAUUUAAAGUCUACGAUUGUAAUUAAAGCUGAGUGAAAAUUUACACUGAAUAUUGUGGAAAAGUCCUUGGAUUUUUAUGGAGAGAUGACUCAUUUUGGCAGUAUCACACGGUACAGAUCAUGUUGGGUUUUGUAGCGUACUGAAUAUUACUGGAUUAGUGGUGAGCAAAACGGAAAGACUGAGUCUAUUACUGGGGGAGGGGAAAAUACCAGGUAUUACUGGUUCUAAUUACUGAAUUCUGGAAUGUUUGGUCCUAAUGAAUUAUAGUUUGAAAGGAUGCUUAAGAUGGAAAAUGUGAGGGACACCUUGGUGGCUCAGUAAAACAUCUCAACUCCUCCAUGCUGGGCAUGAAACCUACUUUAAAAAAAAAAGAUGGGAAAAUGUGGAAUGCUGAAAAUGAAGAGAGCACAGCAUGACAACGGGUCAUGGGGGAAGUUCACUGAUAAAACCAAACAUUGCAUAGAAUGGAUUUAGUGUAGACAGUAAUAGCAUCUGAUCUAACCAAGAUGGUUUGGCCCCAUGCAUGAUCAUUUUCCCUAAAUAGCUACAUGAAUAAAUUGUUGCUAAGCCUAUACUUCAGUGUUAGUCAAAAGAAUAUUCUUGUCAGCUUAUGAUUAUGAACUACCUUUUUUCCUAAAAUGUUUUCUUAGUGAAAAUACAACGUUGGACCCAUGUAGUUUAAGAGGCUCAGUGACAACCAUGCCAUUUAGUGGCACACCCACAAAGAAGAGGUCACAUGAGCACACAGUGUGAUGGUGACCACCCACAAGCCAAGACAAGAGGCCUCAGAAUGUUGAACUUCCAGCCUCCAGAACUGUGAGAGAAAAUUCAUUUCUAUUGUUUAAGCCACCCAGUCUGUGAUAUUUUGUUAUGGCAGCUCUAACAGACUAAGAAGCAGAGGAUAAAUGGCCACUGCUAUAAUUUUGGGAGUUUAUAUUUAGCUAAAGAAUUAUGAGUAAUAACUAUGAAAAAAGCCCAUGCAAUGUAAUCUCUCUGGCUUUAUACAUUUUCCCUUUAGGUUUCUAUUUAUUACACUGGAACUAAAUCUACAAUGUACUUUCUUAUUGAAUAUUAGCAAACACAGCUGCUAGUCACAAAGCUUCCUCUCCACUUGUUUCAUCAUCAAGUUCAAUUAUUUGAGAAAUAGGUAAUUUCUCAAUAAAAAAUACUAGGGAAGAGGGACACCUGGCUGGCUCAGUCAGUAGAGCAUGUGACCCUUGAUCCUGGGGUCAUGAGUUCAAGCCCCAUGUUGGGCAUAGAGCUUACUUAAAAAAUAAAAAUAAAAAUAAAUCAGUAAAGAAACCAGAAAUUGAAAUGAAACUAUCUUGGAUAGAAAGUGAAUGUUGUCUGAGGUCUUAUGCUUCACAGGAAAAACUUUUUAAUAUAAAUGAAAUUACUUCUUUCAUAAUCACCUCAUAUAACAAAUUAUUUAGGCUUACUAAAUAUUUCAGUCUAAAAUUUCCUUUUUCUAUGGAAACAUUAAGAUUGCAGUAAGUUUUGGGGUACCUGGGUGGCUCAGUUGGCUAAGCAUCUGAUUUUUGGUUUUGGCUCAGGCAAUGAUUCAUAGUUUGUGGGAUCAAGCCCCAUGUAGGUCUCUGUGCUGACAGAGCAGAGCCUGCUUAGGAUUUUCUCUCCCUCUCUCUGCACCUCCCUGCUCACGCUCUCUCUCCCUUCCCCUCCCGCUCUCAAAAUAAAUGAAAUAAACUUAAAAAAAAAAAGAUUACAAUAAGUUUUAACUUAACAUUUUUUAUAACUGAUAGGUCACACCUAUCAUGAUAUUGUUCCCUAUUUAAUGAAAGAUGCUUAAUAUAAAAUAAUUACACUUUCGUAGCUCUUUUUAUUUUUCACAAUACUUUGACAUAUAUUAUCUUGGGUUCUCCCCCAGAGAAACCCUGGAAGGUAGAUAAGGUAGGCAUUAUUUAGUAUUCAUUUAUUUUAUAUGUGAUAAACUAAGAUUGAGAUAUUUAAAAUAUAAGCUGGUUAAGUUCCAGGUCAGUGGAAGGAAUGAUUUCAUCAUCUAAUGUAUUUUGUAUUGUUUUUUAGUUUUGGUGCGACAUUUAAGAAAACAGUGACAAACUAGGAAAUAUCAAAAAAAAGAAGACAAAGGUUCUAGAAACCAUGUCAUUUUGGGUGACCUUUUAAGAUCUUGGAAAUAUUUAACCUGAAGAAAUGAAAGUCAAGGGAAAACAUGAUGACUAUUUUAGGGGUGCCUGGGUGACUCAGUCAGUUAAGAAUCUGACUUUGGCUCAGAUCAUGAUCUCAUGGCUUGUGGGUUUGAGCCCUGCAUCAGGCUCUGUGCAGACAGCUCAGAGCCUGAAGCCUGCUUCAGAUUCUGUGUCCAUCUCUCUCUGCCUCUCCACUGCUUGAGCUCUGCACCCACCCCCCCAAAUAAUUAAACAUCAAAAAAAUGAAAAACACGGUGACUAGUUUUAGAUCUUUGGAAGUGUAUCAGAUGGGGUAAUAGUAAUAAUAAUAAUCCGAUGUGAUAGGUACUAUUAAUUUUUUUAAGUUUAUUUACUUAUUUUGAGGGAGAGCACACAAGAACAUGAGCAGAGUUGGGGCAGAGAGAGAAGAGAAAGAAUCCUAAGCAGGCUCCAUGCCAUCAGCACAGAGCCCAAUAUGGGGCUCAGACUCACAAACUGUGAGAUUGUGACCUGAGCUGAAAUGAAGGAUCGGACGCUUAACCAACUGAGCCAUCCAGGCAUCAGUAGGUACUAUUAGUAUACACAUUUUACAGAUGAGGACAUUGAAACUUAGAAAGGUAACCUAAUGAAGGUCGCAUAGGAAGUGAAGGAAUUGGAAUUUAAAAUCUGGCACUCUAAGUCCAGAGAUGGUGUUCUUACCCCACUAAAUUCCUUCCCCAAAGGAGUAGUUAAAUGUUUCUCUAGAAGGCAUAAAGGAGAUCAAUGAAAUAAAUAAAAAGAGACCAUCCACAAAUGAGCCUAAAAAUGAGUUCCCAAUAUGAGAAUGUGCAGCCUCCAUAUCAUAGUCUCUUGUCAGUGUGAGUUGGAGGAAGGAGGCUGGCCCUAAUCAACUUUGAAGACCCUUCUAAGUCUAAGUUCAGAUUUUUGAUUUGCCCAAGGUAACCCAGCUACUUAAUGUCCAAAAUGACAACCAAUAUCUUCUAUCCCUUUUUGAGUCCAGUAUUCAGUCCAAUAAGUGUAAUGUCCCAGUUUUUUCCAGUGGUAAUAUAAAUUUCCUCAAAAUUCAUUAAUCCGUGAGAGUGGGUAAAAUCACAUUAUGUUGUACUGGCUCACUGCCCAUCUGUUAACACAGGACCUCUAGCCCGUAUAAAAUUCCUUCAGAGAGGCCCAUUAGAGUAUCUCACAUGUAUUCACAAAUAAGUCUCCCAAUGCUCUUCCUGAUAUUCUGCCUAUUACUAUGGCCCCUUUAUUGGGUACCCCCAUACAUCCAGUGCCUCCCACUAAGCAUCAAAGUCUCCUUUCUUGCUGACACUAUCAUGGUCCAGAGAGUUGUUGUAUUCUCAUAUCCUUCUCCUACUGCUAUGCCUCAUAAAAGAGAAAUCUGUGCAGUUCUUCUUGUUCCUUCUGUCUCACAAAGCCCCUCAAAAAACAGUCCCUUCAGCAUUUUUUCAUAGAUGUUUUUCCAUGAGGGGCACCUGGCUGGCUCAGUCUGUAGAGCAUGCAACUCUUGGUCACGAGGUCAUGAGUUUAAGCCCCACAUUGGGAGUAGAGCCUACUUUAAAAAACAAAAUAAAAAAUAAAAACGUAUCCUAGAUAUUUUUCCAUGGCACUAAGACCUGGUGCCUGUAGUCAGGCUUGGGUUUAGAACUUCCCUAUCUUUCUCUGCCACAUCUCUAAUCUCUUCUUAGCAGACUCUCACCCUGCAAUUCAUCCUAAGAAUCUGGAAGGUUCAGCCUCAUGAGUCCAGACAAAUCUGAAUCUCAGAUUAAGCUUAACCCUGCUAUAUCAAUAGUAGCCUGAAAUCCAUAUUGUUUUUUUUUUUAAUUUAAUGUUAAUUUAGUUUUGAGAAAGAAAGAAAGAGAAAGAGUGUGAGAGGCAGAGAGGGGGAGAUACAGAAUCCAAAGCAGGCUCCAGGCUGUGAGCUGUCAGCGCAGAGCCUGAUGCGGAGCUCGAACCCACAAACCACAUGAUCAUGACCUGAACUGAAGUCAGAUACUUAAACAACUGAGCCACCCAGGCGCCCUUGAAAUCCAUAUUUUUUUAAAGAUUUUAUUUACUUUUGAAGUAAACUCUAUACCCAUUGUCGGGCUCAAACUUAAGACCCUGAGAUCAAGAGACAUGCUCCACCAACUGAGCCAUCCAGGCACCCCCAAGUCACUUUAAUAAACCAUUUUUACAAAAAUGUUGCCAAUAGUUGAUCAAUUUAAUUACAUUAGAACAUAGACAUUAAGCUCACUAAACUUCUCUGAGGCAAUAGUAAGCUAUAUUCUUUGGUACAUCUCAAUUCUCAUCUUUUAGUUUCAUCACUGAUGAAGACUUUCAGCUUAUAUUACAUUUCUUUUUCAAAAAUGAAUGCAAUAACAUUGCUCAGAGUCUGAUCAUAUACCCAGAAAUGUUAGGCUAGUUUUGAAAUCAAUGGACCUGCCUCUCAUGUGGAAUCUUAUGGAUCAUUGAAAAGAUUUUACUCUAGGGGCGCCUGGGUGGCUCAGUCGGUUAAGUGUCUGACUUUGACUCAGGUCACAAUCUCGCAGUUUGUGAGUUCGAGCCCCGCAUCAGGCUCUGUGCUGACAGCUCAGAGCCUGGAGCCUGCUUCGGAUUCUGUAUCUCCUCCUCUCUCUGCCCCUCCCAUGCUCAUGCUCUGUCUCUCAAUAAUAAAUAUAUGUUAAAAAUUUCAAAAAAAAAAAAAAAAGAAAAGAUUUUACUCUGAGUAAAUUGGGAACAACUGCAAAAGAAAACAGAGGGGUGCCUGGGUGGCUCAGUCAAUUAAGCAUCUGACUCUUGAUUUCAGCUCAGGUCAUGAUCCAGGGUUGUAGGAUCAAGCCCUGUGAUGAGCAUGGAGCCUGCAGCCUGCUUGAGAUUCUCUCUCUCCCUCCGCCCCUUCCCCUCCCCCCCCCACACUCUCUCUCUCUAAAAUAAAGAAGAAAAAAAAAAAAAGGAAACAGAAACUCAAAGGGUGAUUCAUAGCAUCAAAACAUGUGAACCCCACCCCCUAGGGCCCAGAUUGUAGUCUCUAUCAUUUACCAUUAAAAGGAAACAAGGCGCAUUGGAGAAAUGACUGAUUGCAGAUCUGAGGCAAGAAAUGUAUAAGAUGAACCUGGUACACCUUUGCUAUAGCAGAGAGCAUGAAAGCUGUCAAAGACUGCUAAGAUUGUAUUAAAAGAACUAAGGAGCCAAUCUGGAGUAUCUUCUACCAUCCGAAGAUGUAAUGUAGACUAUUACAAAGGAUAAUAACUACAAUAGAUAGAAACACAUAAAAUAUGUUCAAAUCUAUGAAUUCAUAAUGAUACCAAAACAAAACAAAACUGAUUUUGAUGCUGUUAGAGGAUGUUGGUAAACCAAUUUAUCAAUUUCAGAACUGGCAAAUCAAGAGACUUUCCAACACCAACUCUAGUAACAGAUAAUCAAAUAGAAGGUAAGAAAGUUUCUCUUUAUUGAUGUCUUCUAGUUAAUAAAUGAAAAAGAUUGACAUAGUUAGAAUGUCACCACUUUGCAAACAUCUAAUGAGUUAAUGUAUCUAAGCGAUGAUCAUCAAUGGCUGCUAACAUCAAGAAAAAGAGAAGCAAACUGAAUAUAAGUAGUUGAUUGGAUGUUUUGAGGCAUGUCAAUGAUAUACUGAUACUUAAAGAGCCACUUUCCACAGGAAAUAUGCUUUAAAUUUUUUUUCCAUUAAAAGUGAUAUAUUUACCCUAAGAUAUUAGCACUCUCCAUUCUUUGCAAUAAUGUCACACAUCUGCAAGAUGUCUCACCAGUCUCCCCAAAAAGAGUUCCUUGAAUGAGUCUAACAAAACUCUAGAAAACUGGUUAUUAACAUGAAUAAAAUAGCAUGAGAUUUAUCACUUCAGCUUCAGUUGCAUCUUGGGGAGAUGAGUUUGUUUCAUACACUUUAAACUCUUCUGUCAACUAGUGAUAACAGUCCUGACUAUAGUAUCAUUGUCUACCUCAAUAAACAGCCAUAUCUCAGGAAGGGAAAUAUGCUCAAUACCAUGGUAAUGUUUACUCUAGAUAAAUGUUUCAUAGAUGAUUCAUAUUAUAGUACCCCAAAUUUCUUUGAACAUUCUUCUUAAUAUAGAAUAAAUACAACCUCUUA